UACAGAGGUCUCAAGCGGUGUUCGGAAUUACUGGGCGUAAAGCGUGCGUAGGCGGCGAGGUAAGUCAGAUGUGAAAUGCCGGGGCUCAACCCCGGAACUGCAUCCGAUACUGCCUUGCUCGAGUAGUGGAGGGGAGUCUGGAAUUCACGGUGUAGCAGUGAAAUGCGUAGAUAUCGUGAGGAACACUAGUGGCGAAGGCGAGACUCUGGACACUUACUGACGCUGAGGCUCGAAGGCCAGGGUAGCGAAAGGG
rnacentral:rRNA from 1 species